UACAUGGGGUGCAAACGUUGCUCGGAAUUAUUGGGCGUAAAGCGCGCGUAGGCGGUUACUUAAGUCGGAUGUGAAAGCCCUCGGCUUAACUGAGGAAGUGCACCCGAAACUGAGUAGCUAGAGUACGAAAGAGGGUCGCGGAAUUCCCGGUGUAGAGGUGAAAUUCGUAGAUAUCGGGAGGAACACCGGUGGCGAAGGCGGCGACCUGGGUCGAGACUGACGCUGAGGCGCGAAAGCGUGGGGAGCAAACGGG
rnacentral:rRNA from 1 species